AAUGAACGCUGGCGGCGUGCCUAACACAUGCAAGUCGGAUGUGCCGCAAGGUGCAUGGCAGACGGGUGAGUAACGCGUGGGCAAUCUACCUUUUAGUGGGGAAUAACGUUCCGAAAGGAAUGGUAAUACCGCAUGUGAUCACGAACUGGGAUGUUUGUGAUGAAAGCCGGGGACCUUCGGGCCUGGCGCUAGAAGAGGAGCCCGCGUCUGAUUAGUUAGUUGGUGGGGUAAUGGCCUACCAAGACAUCGAUCAGUAGCCGGCCUGAGAGGGUGAUCGGCCACACUGGAACUGAGACACGGUACAGACUCCUACGGGAGUCAGCAGUGGGGAAUUUUGCGCAAUGGACGAAAGUCUGACGCAGCAACGCCGCGUGGGUGAUGAAGGUCUUCGGAUCGUAAGACCCUGUCGUCGGGGACGAAGGUGGGCUUGUUAAUAGCGAGUUUACUUGACGGUACCCGGAGAGGAAGCCCCGGCUAACUACGUGCCAGCCGCCGCGGUAAUAC
rnacentral:rRNA from 1 species